rnacentral:sRNA from 1 species
CGCCAGCGAGAGAGCGUUGCCGCAGGCAACGACCCGUAGGGCGAAGCGCGCAGCGCUGAGUAAUCCUUCCCCCACCACCA